GCAAAUCUCAUGUCUCGGAGACAUGAGAUUUGCAACCGUAGGACAUGAGAUUUUCGGCCUAAUCUGAGACCACUGACUUGAGGCCACAAAUAAGGGAUCAUCCACAAAGUACGUCCGUGAUUCGCUGUUCCAAAACUGCCAAGUUCAUCCUGUGCUAGCUCUCGGAGCGCCUGGUGGGUAGGCAACUUCUCGUAUGGAGUGCAUGUGUGUUCUGCGGGCUGGCCUACCUUGAGCCUCGCAGGCGCUCAUUUCCCUUUUUCGCUGAACGAAUCUUAGAAAAAUCGGGCGUACUUUCUGGAUGGUCCCUAAUCAGCCAAAACAGACUAAGAUCUUCCAACACAGGUUUAUACUUUUUGUGGCGGAAACAAAACUCACAACACAAAGGCCCGCUUUCAGCAAGUGAAACUCUACUAGUUCACGCUUGUGGCAAUUUUUAAAACGGUAAUUGAUUGCGAGGUGUAAUGAUAGAGAUACGAGGAAGGUUUUGUUAAUUAGAGCUCUAAUAGACGGUUCAUGCUCUGCGUGUUUCGAGAAGGAGUAAGGAAAUCAGGACUGGAGCCAGUAUGAUCCGCUUAUUUUCCUCAUUUAACAGUUCAGUUUCACAUAACUAUGUAUGACCUCGAGUAAGUCCAUCGUAACAAUGAAGGUUCAUUUGCACUAGUUUUUACUGUAGUGUUUUUCCAGUGACGAUUUCCUUAAUUCUUCUUGAAAUAUGGACCGUCUAUUUGUUGAAAACAAAUAAAUGGUAUGAGUGUGUGUGCCAUUACUUGGUUCGUGCAACUUUGAGAUGUCUGUUGUUGUUUACAUUGCACUAUGUUGUUUCUCGCAGUCCAGUUUAACACUCAAACACUUGAGGGGUCCUAGUGCCUACCUUGACUCCACUCUGGUAGCAGCAGCAGCACCUUUCCAUAGCUAUCUCCAUGUUGACAGCAGAUAGCCUAGGCCUGGUCCAGCGGGAUCACUAUUAGGCAGCAAUUUAAAAGCUGGCUUCGUCUUUAGACAAGAAAUUUGUCCACAUUUCACUAUUACAGGCGAGUUGGCAACGACUCUUUUUCUGUUUACCCGACGCCCGGUUGUCAUGUUCGAAAUCUCACUGCAUGGUUUCACUUCACAGAUUCACACUACACGCAAUAAUAACUACAGUAAACACAAUGUGCUUUGUGGGUUUGUUGUUCUUUUCCUCGCCGCCUUCAAAGUUAUGUGAUACGCACUAUCGACACACUACGAGAUCGUUAUGCGCAGUGCGAGUGCAAAUAGCGCGUACAAAAGCAGACAGACGAACAUUUCGUUUUCAGAAUCGGUGUUUUGCUGCUGUUGUAGUGUGUCAUUGUCUGUCUUCAUUCUACUCAUUGCGAGCGAUACUCCUCGAGGAUAAAUAGCUGCCAGACUGGCCAGCAUCACCCUGGUUGUUGAGGAAUUGCCAAGCGAACGUCUUCUGCACUGCUGCCGUACCACAAAUUCCUUGGACUCGCAUAUGCUCAUAUUUUGCGAGACAAUUUCUUCCUAGAGAUUGUCAUUCUUCAAAGCAAUUACUCUGAGGCAGUGCACAUUUGGACACACAUUUCCUCAUUUUCAUCAAGUGGAGAAUAACGGACUGCAAACAGGGUAGAUUAAGUAUCCGAAUGAGGAGAUAAGAAGAACUUUGCCUGAAUCUCUUUAAAAUGUGAUUGUAUAUAUUCGUUAAUGAAUAAAAAUUCUGAGGCUGGUGUCGAGGGA